rnacentral:sRNA from 1 species
UCUUCCUUCAACAUGUUCUUUCAUCUCUUCCUCCCCAAAUCAACUCCCUCUCCAGUCUCCACCACCAAAUCUACCCUCAAGUAGUAGAGAUCGACAGGAGCUUCGACCUUCGAGGGUGGUUGCAGCAGCACUCCUGAAGGCCGUGGUGGGCGUGGGCUGAUUGCAUCUGUUUGCGGCUGAGAGGCAACGCCGGGACAGGGGUGAAUCAAGGCCACGGCGACCUGUGCAGCGUGGUGUUGCCGAGCUGCUCUCUAGUUAGCAUUUAGCAAAGAUCGGUAAGGCUGAGAAGUCAAGAACUUGAGCUACGCUUGCAAAACUUGAUAUAUGAAUCAUAUUACUGCGCUUGAUGACUUCUGGAAGUGCUAUUACGUACCAUUUCAAUUGGAUACAACUACUGCAGAAGGCUAUAUUUGUGUUUUAUUUUGACUUUUGAGAGAGCAAAGCCACAAUCUAUUAAGUGUUCGUCAAUUUUCAACUCUGGAUAUACUCUCCCUAUGCGUGUGUGUUUUUUUUCUUUUGUUUUUCGAAGGGCAACUCUGCAUGUACUCCCAAUUUUUACUAUUGAGAUUAACUUUGUAAUGCAGUAUAUAUAUUUUUUGUUCAAGC